AAGCGAGUCUUAAUAGGGCGUUUAGUUGCUGGGUGUAGACCCGAAACCAGAUGAUCUACUCAUGGCCAGGAUGAAGCGAGGGUAACACCUCGUGGAGGUCCGAACCCACUAAUGUUGAAAAAUUAGGGGAUGAGCUGUGGGUAGGGGUGAAAGGCUAAACAAAUCUGGAAAUAGCUGGUUCUCUCCGAAAACUAUUUAGGUAGUGCCUCAACGUAUCACCUUUGGGGGUAGAGCACUGUUAUGGCUAGGGGGUCAUUGAGACUUACCAAACCAUUGCAAACUCCGAAUACCAAAGAGUGCGAGCGUGGGAGACAGACAUCGGGUGCUAACGUCCGGUGUCAAAAGGGAAACAACCCAGACCCUCAGCUAAGGUCCCCAAGACACAGUUAAGUGGGAAACGAAGUGGGAAGGC
rnacentral:rRNA from 1 species